UCUCGACUUCCGUAAACAUGAUCCAAAGUCAAAAUUUUCAUAAAGAGAGAACUAGGGAAAGCCUCUAGAUUUGUUAAGUAUUGAUCGCGUCGUGUUUUUAAGUAAUCCUUCAUACGAUUCAUGUCGAUUUGCUUAGUUUCGGCCAAAAGACGUAAAGCACGUUGUUCUAAGCCAUUAAUUUUUUCUAAAGGAACGCUGUCAAAAAACAACUGAAUAGAACAAGGGACACGGAGUGAGACAUAAAAAUAAACAAAUGAGCAAAACGGGUCUUCAAUUUCAACAAAGGUCUGCCCAAAUGGGGAGACGGCAGAUUCACUCAGGAAUUCACAAAGUGUUUCAAUAGCAAAAACAGUGUAUGCAUCUAAGGCCGAGGGUCCAUUCCAAGCUAAAGAAACAGAUCCAGUAUAUUCGUCUUCGGAAGAAAAUUUAACAGUUUUCAAAAUUGGCUCAGGAAUAGUGUAAUCCACAUUAGUUGAACACCAUGGACGCGUCCACGUAGGUGGAGUGAUAAUACCAUUAGCUAAAAUUUCCUUUACGAUACCAGAGGCACAGCUUAGAAGCCUUGAUUCGUUAAUGCACCCGGUCACAAUUAAACAAAUAUUGCUUGGAACAUACAUUUCCUUAUGAUAUUCUCUAAUUUUCUCGAUAGACAACUUGCGAAGUUCGCUGGGAUGACCACCAGUCUCAUAAUAGUAACCACUGGUAACUGGAUAUUGACUAGUUCUCAUACAAUCAAACAUAACAUCCGUCUCUGAGCUUUGAGUAUUCUGCAUUUCAGAAUAAACAACACCGGACUCUUCUCCCAUACCAUUUAUAUGAUAAACUUCUGUGCAAAACGCUUCAUCGCUUAGAAUUGGAGACAAAAUGUGAUCUGCAAAUACAGGCAACAGACGAAGAAAUCCAUCUUCCUCAGCAGCAGAAAGCUCAUAUGAAGUAUAAUCAACAUCGGUACAAGCAUUGAUAUCACCACAUGCCCUGCCAGCAAAUUUUGUAAGAAUGCCAUUCAUGGGAUACUUUUUACUGCCCAUGAAACACAGAUGUUCAAGGGUAUGAGGACAGCCAAGAUUAUCGUGAGCUUCAGUUGCUACUACAAAUGAUCCUUGUAAUCUGGAUGUUGGAGUUUUUACUGAAGCGACGCUGAACCCAGUUGCAUCGUUUAUCCAUUUGUUGACCGUGUAAUUCAAUAUACGCUCACUUGAGAUUUGGCGAAAUGAUGUGUCAUCAGAAAGCAUACUUUAAUAAAGUUAUCCAAAACAGCAAAAUCGAGCAAAAUGAGCAAUACAAUGUCCCGUUUCCCAACGAGAGUGCUGUUGACUUUAAUAAAAAAUCCUUAACAAGAGAAUACAAAUACGAUGUUUAAGGAUUCUCUAUUAAAGAAAUUUAGAAUUACCUCUAUAACAGCGUAACAACUAAGUAGUAGUAAGAAAAUGGUCAAGAAAUUUCAUACUUUAGUAUGCAUAAACUGUAUAGACGAGGUAAC